rnacentral:rRNA from 1 species
CGGGGGGCAGCAGUGAGGAAUAUUGGACAAUGGGCGAAAGCCUGAUCCAGCAAUACCGCGUGAGUGAAGAAGGCCUUAGGGUUGUAAAGCUCUUUCAGCAGGGAAAAUAAUGAUGGUACCUGCAAAAGAAGUCCCGGCUAACUCCGUGCCAGCAGCCGCGGUAAUACGGAGGGGACUAGCGUUGUUCGGAUUUACUGGGCGUAAAGAGCGCGUAGGCGGUGUAUUAAGUUAGAAGUGAAAGCCUGGGGCUUAACCCCAGAAAUGCUUCUAAAACUGAUACGCUAGAGUACGGGAGAGGAUAGUGGAAUUCCUAGUGUAGAGGUGAAAUUCUUAGAUAUUAGGAGGAACACCGGUGGCGAAAGCGACUAUCUGGAACGUUACUGACGCUGAGGCGCGAAAGCGUGGGGAGCAAACAGGAUUAGAUACCCCAGU